ensembl:lncRNA
GGGAGGUCUAAUAGUAUCACUAGACAUUGAAAAUAAGUUUUAAAUGUACUCAUGUGAAGAGAAAGGAGUCAAAACACAUCGACAUUAAUAACAGCGCCACCUAGCGUUUAAAGGUCACCAAAUUCAUCCAGUGUAACCUUUAUGGGGUCAUGGGUCUAUGUACCAAGGUUGGUUAUGAUAUGUCCAAGGGCUGCUGAGAUAUGGGCUUACGUCCGGUUUGGCGGCUUAGCCGCCAAAUUUGAUUGGCUCUAGCGGGCAAACGGUUUUGAAGUUGAAAGGUCUAUCAGAUGUUUUGCAUCAAGCAUGGCGAGAAGAUCAUGUGUGCCAAGUUUCGAGAUGAUUGGACAAGAUUUGUGAUAGAAGUAGCACUUUGAAGGUUUUUGACAUAAACCAAGAUGGCGGACAUAUACGUCAUGGCGCAAUGACGUCAUGGGGUGUGUUGAACUGGGCUUGGUUCAAGGAAUCCAAUGAUACCUGGUAUGUGAAAAUUGGUCGAAUAGGUCGAAAGUUAUGAACAUGAAUGCAUGCCAAACUUUGACCUGUUGGUGGCGCUAGAGCUGUUGGGCUAGUGACCUGAGAUUGGCUCAAUAAGCUAAUGGGGCUGUCCUGAACCAGUAUGCCAAAUUUCACAACUUUUCACCAAGCGGUUCUAUGGGCUGCCAUUGACUCCAAUGGCAGCAUAAUAAUAAUAAUAAUAAUAAGAAUUCGUACGAAAACAAUAGGUUGUCUCGCAACAUAGUUGCUUGACACCCAAUAAGAAUUCGUACGAAAACAAUAGGUUGUCUCGCAACAUAGUUGCUUGACACCCAAUAAUAGGAAUUCGUACAAUA